rnacentral:rRNA from 1 species
CCUACGGGAGGCAGCAGUAGGGAAUCUUCCACAAUGGGCGAAAGCCUGAUGGAGCAACGCCGCGUGGGUGAAGAAGGUCUUCGGAUCGUAAAACCCUAUUGUUAGAGAAGAAAGUGCGUGAGAGUAACUGUUAACGUUUCGACGGUAUCUAACCAGAAAGCCACGGCGAACUACGGGCCAGCAGCCGCGGUAAUACGUAGGGGGCAAGCGUUAUCCGUAUUUAGUGGGCGUAAAGGGAACGAAGGCGGUCUUUUAAGUCUGAUGUGAAAGCCUUCGGCUUAACCGGAGUAGUGCAUUGGAAACUGUGAGACUUGAGUGCAGAAGAGGAGAGUGGAACUCCAUGUGUAGCGGUGAAAUGCGUAGAUAUUUGGAAGAACACCAGUGGCGAAAGCGGCUCUCUGGUCUGUAACUGACGCUGAGGUUCGAAAGCGUGGGUAGCAAACAGGAUUAGAUACCCCUGUAGUC